CGGGUGCACUGAUCCAGCCGGGCCUUUCCCUCUGUGGAACCCCAUGGCCUUCACUGGCUGUGGUGGGGAAACAGGACUUUUACUUUGAAAAAAUUAGAGUGCUCCAGGCAGGCCUAUGCUCGAAUACAUUAGCAUGGAGUAAUAGAAUAGGACGUGUGGUUCUAUUUUGUUGGUUUCUAGGACCGCCGUAAUGAUUAAUAGGGACAGUCGGGGGCAUCAGUAUUCAAUUGUCAGAGGUGAAAUUCUUGGAUCUAUUGAAGACUAACUACUGCGAAAGCAUUUGCCAAGGAUGUUUUCAUUGAUAAGGAACGAAAGUUAGGGGAUCGAAGACGAUCAGAUACCGUCGUAGUCUUAACUAUAAACUAUGCCGACUAGGGAUCGGACGAUGUUAUUCUUUGACGCGUUCGGCACCUUUCGAGAAAUCAAAGUGCUUGGGCUCCAGGGGGAGUAUGGUCGCAAGGCUGAAACUUAAAGAAAUUGACGGAAGGGCACCACCAGGGGUGGAACCUGCGGCUUAAUUUGACUCAACACGGGGAAACUCACCAGGUCCAGACACAGUGAGGAUUGACAGAUUGAGAGCUCUUUCUUGAUUCUGUGGGUGGUGGUGCAUGGCCGUUCUUAGUUGGUGGAGUGAUUUGUCUGCUUAAUUGCGAUAACGAACGAGACCUUAACCUGCUAAAUAGCCCGUACUGCUUUGGCAGUUCGCCGGCUUCUUAGAGGGACUAUCGG
rnacentral:rRNA from 1 species